CCUACGGGUGGCAGCAGUGGGGGAUAUUGCACAAUGGGGGGAACCCUGAUGCAGCGACGCCGCGUGGGUGAAGAAGCGCCUCGGCGCGUAAAGCUCUGUCAUUAGGGAAGAAAAUGACGGUACCUGAAGAAGAAGCCCCGGCCAAGUACGUGCCAGCAGCCGCGGUCAUACGUAGGGGGCAAGCGUUAUCCGGAUUUACUGGGUGUAAAGGGGGCGCAGUCGGCGGUGCAAGCCAGGAGUGAAAGCCCGGGGCUCAACCCCGGGAGUGCACUUGGAACUGCGUGGCUGGAGUGCAGGAGGGGAAGGCGGAAUUCCUGGUGUAGCGGUGAAAUGCGUAGAUAUCAGGAGGAACACCGGUGGCGAAGGCGGCCUGCUGGACUGCAACUGACGCUGAGGCCCGAAAGCGUGGGGAGCAAACAGGAUUAGAUACCCCGGUAGUC
rnacentral:rRNA from 1 species